UACGAAGGGGGCUAGCGUUGUUCGGAAUUACUGGGCGUAAAGGGCGCGUAGGCGGUCCUGAUCGUCGGAUGUGAAAGGCCUGGGCUCAACCUGGGAAUGGCAUCCGAUACGGCGGGACUGGAGUGUGGGAGAGGUUGGUGGAAUUCCUGGUGUAGCGGUGAAAUGCGCAGAUAUCAGGAGGAACACCUAUUGCGAAGGCAGCUCGCUGGGACGUAACUGACGCUGAGACGCGAAAGCGUGGGGAGCAAACAGG
rnacentral:rRNA from 1 species